AGUGAACGCUGGCGGUAGGCCUAACACAUGCAAGUCGAACGGCAGCACAGUAAGAGCUUGCUCUUACGGGUGGCGAGUGGCGGACGGGUGAGGAAUACAUCGGAAUCUACUUUUUCGUGGGGGAUAACGUAGGGAAACUUACGCUAAUACCGCAUACGACCUACGGGUGAAAGCAGGGGAUCUUCGGACCUUGCGCGAUUGAAUGAGCCGAUGUCGGAUUAGCUAGUUGGCGGGGUAAAGGCCCACCAAGGCGACGAUCCGUAGCUGGUCUGAGAGGAUGAUCAGCAACACUGGAACUGAGGCACGGUCCAGACUCCUACGGGAGGCAGAAGUGGGGAAUAUUGGACAAUGGGCGCAAGCCUGAUCCAGACAUACCGCGUGGGUGAAGAAGGACUUCGGGUGGUAAAGCCCUUUUGUUGGGAAAGAAAAGCAGCAGGUUAAUACCCCGCUGUUAUGACGGUACCCAAAGAAUAAGCACCGGCUAAAUUCGUG
rnacentral:rRNA from 1 species